rnacentral:rRNA from 1 species
GAUGAACGCUAGCGGCAGGCUUAAUACAUGCAAGUCAAGGGGGUAGCAAUACUACCGGCGCACGGGUGAGUAACACGUACAUAACAUACCAUAUACUGGGGUAUAGCUUUGGGAAACUGAAGGUAAUCCCCCAUAACAUUGCGAGAGGGCAUCUGAUUGCAAUUAAAGUUUCGACGGUAUAUGAUUGAUGUGCGUUUGAUUAGCUUGUUGGUAGGGUAACGGCCUACCAAGGCGACGAUCAAUAGCUGGCGUGAGAGCGCGACCAGCCACACUGGAACUGAGACACGGUCCAGACUCCUACGGGAGGCAGCAGUAGGGAAUAUUGGACAAUGGGCGAAAGCCUGAUCCAGCCAUGCCGCGUGAUAGAUGAAGGCCCUCUGGGUUGUAAAUAUCUUUUAUCUGGGAAGAACA